AAUUUGGAUUAAUGCCCCAUGGUAUUUUGGAGUGGCAUCACUUUAUUAUUAAAGAUUUAUCGGUGGAAGAUGGGCAUGCGUCCCAUUAGCUUGUUGGUAAGGUAACGGCUUACCAAGGCAACGAUGGGUAGGGGUCCUGAGAGGGAGAUCCCCCACACUGGUACUGAGACACGGACCAGACUCCUACGGGAGGCAGCAGUGAGGAAUAUUGGACAAUGGGCGCAAGCCUGAUCCAGCCAUGCCGCGUGCAGGAUGACGGCCCUAUGGGUUGUAAACUGCUUUUGUACGGGAAGAAACCACUCUACGUGUAGGGUACUGACGGUACCGUAAGAAUAAGGAUCGGCUAACUCCGUGCCAGCAGCCGCGGUAAUACGGAGGAUCCAAGCGUUAUCCGGAAUCAUUGGGUUUAAAGGGUCCGUAGGCGGCCCAGUAAGUCAGUGGUGAAAUCUCCCGGCUCAACCGGGAAAUUGCCAUUGAUACUGCCGGGCUCGAAUUAUUGGGAAGUAACUAGAAUAUGUAGUGUAGCGGUGAAAUGCUUAGAUAUUACAUGGAAUACCGAUUGCGAAGGCAGGUUACUACCAAUACAUUGACGCUGAUGGACGAAAGCGUGGGUAGCGAACAGAUUAGAUACCCUGGUAGUCCACGCCGUAAACGAUGGAUACUAGCUGUUGGGAGCAAUCUCAGUGGCUAAGCGAAAGUGAUAAGUAUCCCACCUGGGGAGUACGAACGCAAGUUUGAAACUCAAGGA
rnacentral:rRNA from 1 species